rnacentral:rRNA from 1 species
UACGUAGGGGGCAAGCGUUGUCCGGAUUUAUUGGGCGUAAAGAGCGUGUAGGCGGCCAGUUAGGUCCGUUGUGAAAACUCGAGGCUCAACCUCGAGACGCCGAUGGAAACCAACUGGCUAGAGUCCGGAAGAGGAGAGUGGAAUUCCCGGUGUAGCGGUGAAAUGCGCAGAUAUCGGGAAGAACACCCGUGGCUAAGGCGGCUCUCUAGUACGGUACUGACGCUGAGACGCGAAAGCGUGGGGAGCGAACCGG